rnacentral:rRNA from 1 species
GGUUGCGAUCAUACGAGCACUAAUGCACCGGAUCCCAUCAGAACUCCGCAGUUAAGCGUGCUUGGGCGAGAGUAGUACUAGGAUGGGUGACCCCCUGGGAAGUCCUCGUGUUGCAACCC